rnacentral:rRNA from 1 species
GCCAGACUCCUACGGGAGGCAGCAGUGGGGAAUAUUGCACAAUGGGGGAAACCCUGAUGCAGCGACGCCGCGUGAGUGAAGAAGUAUUUCGGUAUGUAAAGCUCUAUCAGCAGGAACGAGACAAGACGGUACCUGACUAAGAAGCCCCGGCUAACUACGUGCCAGCAGCCGCGGUAAUACGUAGGGGGCAAGCGUUAUCCGGAAUCACUGGGUGUAAAGGGAGCGUAGACGGCUGUGCAAGCCUGAAGUGAAAGGCGGGGGCCCAACCCCUGGACUGCUUUGGGAACUGUACGGCUGGAGUGCAGGAGAGGUAAGCGGAAUUCCUAGUGUAGCGGUGAAAUGCGUAGAUAUUAGGAGGAACACCAGUGGCGAAGGCGGCUUACUGGACUGUAACUGACGUUGAGGCUCGAAAGCGUGGGGAGCAAACAGGAUUAGAUACCCCAGUA